UGGCGGACGGGUGAGUAACGCGUGGGUAACCUGCCUCAUACAGGGGGAUAACAGUUAGAAAUGACUGCUAAUACCGCAUAAGCGCACAGGGACACAUGUUCCGGUGUGAAAAACUCCGGUGGUAUGAGAUGGACCCGCGUCUGAUUAGCUGGUUGGCGGGGUAACGGCCCACCAAGGCGACGAUCAGUAGCCGACCUGAGAGGGUGACCGGCCACAUUGGGACUGAGACACGGCCCAAACUCCUACGGAAGGCAGCAG
rnacentral:rRNA from 1 species